UCCCUGGUGGUCCAGUGGUUAAGACUCUGUACUCCCAAUGCAAAAAGGCCAGGGUUCGAUCCCUGGUCAGGGAA
rfam:Ovis aries breed Texel chromosome 1, whole genome shotgun sequence.